rnacentral:rRNA from 1 species
ACUCCUACGGGAGGCAGCAGUAACGAAUCUUCCGCAAUGGACGAAAGUCUGACGGAGCAAUGCCGCGUGUGGGAUGAAGCGUCUAUGACGUGUAAACCACUGUCAGGGAAUAGAAACAAUGAUCGUUCCCAAAGGAAGUGGCGACUAACUCUGUGCCAGCAGUCGCGGUAAUACAGAGGCCACAAGCGUUAGUCGGAAUCACUGGGCUUAAAGGGUGCGUAGGCGGCCUGCCAAGUGUCUUGUGAAAUACCUUAGCUCAACUAAGGAACAGCAGGGCAUACUGGUAGGCUCGAGGCAGGUAAGGGUCGCUGGAACAGUAGGUGGAGCGGUGAAAUGCGUAGAUAUCUACUGGAACGCCGAUGGUGAAGACGAGCGACUAGGCCUGACCUGACGCUGAGGCACGAAAGCGUGGGGAGCAAACAGGAUUAGAUACCCUGGUAGUCCACGCCGUAAACGAUGUACACUAGACUGGUGCGGUUUUGACGCCGUAUCAGUCGUAGUAAAAACGAUAAGUGUACCGCCUGGGGAGUACGGUCGCAAGGCUAAAACUCAAAUGAAUUGACGGGGGCUCACACAAGCGGUGGAGCAUGUUGCUUAAUUCGAGGCAACGCGAAGAACCUUACCUGGGUUUGACAUGUAUGUAUUAACUCUGUGAAAGCAGAGCCACAGUCGCAAGACCGGAACAUGCACAGGUGCUGCAUGGCUGUCGUCAGCUCGUGCUGUGAAGUGUCAGGUUAAGUCCUUUAACGAGCGCAACCCCUAUCGUUAGUUGCUCGGCGCAAGCCAGUACUCUAGCGAGACUGCCGGUGUCAAACCGGAGGAAGGUGGGGAUGACGUCAAGUCCUCAUGGCCCUUACAUCCAGGGUUGCAAACGUGCUACAAUGGUGCAUACAGAGCGAUGCAAGAGCGCAAGCUGGAGCAAAUCGCAAAAAGUGCACCCCAGUUCGGAUUGUCGGCUGCAACUCGCCGGCAUGAAGUAGGAAUCGCUAGUAAUCGGGGAUCAGCUACGCCCCGGUGAAUGAGUUCCUGAGCCUUGUACACACCGCCCGU